GUUCCCUCCUCCUUUUCCUCCCUUCAGCCCGAGUGAUGGCCGCUAUUCUUGGGCCUAAAGCGUCCGUAGCUGGCCGAACAAGUCCGUCGGGAAAUCCACGUGCUUAACACGUGGGCGACCGGCGGAAACUGUUCGGCUUGGGGCCGGAGGACCCGAGGGGUACGUCCGGGGUAGGAGUGAAAUCCUGUAAUCCUGGACGGACCGCCGGUGGCGAAAGCGCCUCGGGAAGACGGACCCGACAGUGAGGGACGAAAGCUGGGAUCUCGAACCGGAUUAGAUACCCGUGUAGUCC
rnacentral:rRNA from 1 species